UACAGAGGGUGCGAGCGUUAAUCGGAAUUACUGGGCGUAAAGAGCGCGCAGGCGGUCGUAUAAGUCGCGUGUGAAAGCCCCCGGCUCAACUGGGGAGGGUCACGCGAUACUGUUCGACUCGAAGGCAGGAGAGGGAAGUGGAAUUCCCGGUGUAGUGGUGAAAUGCGUAGAUAUCGGGAGGAACACCAGUGGCGAAGGCGACUUCCUGGCCUGUUCUUGACGCUGAGGCGCGAAAGCUAGGGUAGCAAACGGG
rnacentral:rRNA from 1 species